rnacentral:lncRNA from 1 species
UCGGAAACAUUAACUGAAAUUUUAGGGACCCAAAAGUUAAUGCCUUACAAACACACAGGCCAUAUAUCUUGAAGAGAGAUCAGAUCCUCUUCUCUCUAAUGGCUUACAAACAGACAGGCCAUUGAUCUUGACCUGAGCACCUGAACCAGUCAUUCCACAACACACACAAACCAACCUCCUUUGCAACUUCUCUUCCACAUCUCCUCGCUAUCAAAACCACCAAACUAGCCUCUACCCAAAGCCAUAGUAAAAACCCGAACCACCCACCAUCGCCAGCAGCAACCCACCAUCAGCCCCUGAUUUUACCGAGGUCACUCACCCACCUUCAUCACCGUCUCAGCGCGAGCCACCACUCUACAGUUCAAACCAAACCCACGCCAGCGCCACCAGUCUUCCAACCAGCCGAACCCACCACUAGAUCAGCCACUCGCCGCUUUGCUCAACACCAGUUUUCAAACCAAACCCAUGCCAAUUCAAUGAACUGAUGUGUUGGGUUUGACUAAAAUUUAAUUUCAAAAUUUCCUUUUGGCUCUGGUUUCAAGAAUCUCUAUAGUCUAUGCCUAUAAUUUUAUAGUCUAUUUUACUUCUCAC